CCUACGGGAUGCAGCAGUGAGGAAUAUUGGUCAAUGGGCGAGAGCCUGAACCAGCCAAGUCGCGUGAAGGAUGACGGCCCUACGGGUUGUAAACUUCUUUUGUCAGGGAGCAAUUGGGUCCACGCGUGGGCUUAGCGAGAGUAACUGAAGAAAAAGCAUCGGCUAACUCCGUGCAAGCAGCCGCGGUAAUACUGGGGAGGCGAGCGUUAUCCGGAUUUAUUGGGUUAAAGGGGUGCGUAAGGGGAGUAUCAAGUUAGCGUGAAAAAUUCGGGCUUAACCCCCGUCGUGUCGUUGAAACUGUUGAUCUAGAGUGCACGAGAGGUAAGUGGAAUUCGUGGUGUAGCGGUGAAAUGCGUAGAUAUUAGGAAGAACACCAGUGGCGAAGGCAGCUUACCGGCGUCUAACUGACGUUGAGGCUCGAAAGCGUGGGUAGCGAACAGGAUUAGAUACCCCUGUAGUC
rnacentral:rRNA from 1 species